AUAAAUAGUAAGUCAGACAUUAGAAAGUCUACAAAUUUUACAAACUCAAAGAGUGUUUCAACAAUAUGAGAUCUCUCUCUAUUUUCUUCCUUCUCCUAUCUCUUUCUUUGUUGGGAUAUGUAAUUAGUGAUGGUCCAGAAGAAUAUUGGAAGAGCAAAAUGAAUGGAGAUCCAAUGCCUAAAGCACUCAAGGACCUUCUUAAUGAUCAAUAUCAAGAUUUUCCAAUAGAAAGGAACAAAUUUGUUAGAAAUUUUGAUUUGAAGGCUAAUAUUAUUAUUUAUCAUAAUGAUGUUGAUAUAUAUCCAAAAAGAUCCAGGCCUACUCCUUAGGAUGAUCAUUUUU